GCGCAGAUCAGGAAAGUGUUC
rnacentral:miRNA from 1 species